AUGAACUUUCCUUCGUUAACACUAGAGCAUGCCAUUACCGAACUUCCCCGAGCGAUGCCCCAUGCACAGAACCUGAAUCUGAGUGCAUGCAUGACAUUAAAGGUGAUUUACUUGCCAGAGGGUGUGACCAAGUUUUCUCAUGUGAAGUAUCUACAGCUGAGAUUGUAUUUCUCUGGUCAGGAAAAUCUCCUCUCCUUGGCUUCUUUUCUCAAAGCUGCCCCUCUACUAGAAGAGUUAGAUAUACAUUUUCUGCGCCGCUCCUUUCCGCUGAAUGACUUUGAGAAGUUACCUAUCAGGAGCCUUCCUCCGUGUCGCCAUGGUCAUCUAAAGAGGGUGCUCAUCACAGGGUUCCAUGGGGCCCGUGGUGAGAUUGAACUUGCAGCUCAUGUUGCAGAUAACUCCAGCAGGCUUCAGGCAUUGGUCAUAGAUCCAGUCAUGAGAGAUGUGGAUAGGAAUAUGUUUACUUCAACGCCGGAGGGAAGAGCUAUGUACUGGGAUCUUGCCCGUGAGAAUGCUAAGAAGUACCUUGCCAGGAGAGUCGCACAUGGUGCACGGUUUGAUGUUCUGUGA
rnacentral:rRNA from 1 species